rnacentral:ncRNA from 1 species
UGUAAUACCGAGGCACACACAGUGUCUGACUGGUCAACAAGGGAUACUGAUCUUAGUGAUUAAGCGUAAUGUAAGUACGUCAGUCUCUUGGAAAGUGGGGAAACCCACUUUUUUUAUGGAAA